rnacentral:sRNA from 1 species
GCUGGGUGUGGUGGCGUACACCUGUAAUCCCAGCUACUUGGGAGGCUGAGGCAGGAGAAUCGCUUGAACCCAGGAGGCGGAGGUUACAGUAAGCUGAGACAGCACCACUGCACUCUAGCCUGGGUGACAAAGCAAGACUCUGUCUCAA